GGCUACACAUGCAAGUCGAGGGGAACGACGGGGAAGCUUGCUUCCUCGGGCGUCGACCGGCGCACGGGUGAGUAACGCGUAUCCAACCUGCCUCUGACUGAGGGAUAACCCGUCGAAAGUCGGCCUAAUACCUCAUGGCAUCGUCUGCGGGCAUCCAACGACGAUUAAAGAUUUCAUCGGUCAGGGAUGGGGAUGCGUCUGAUUAGCUUGUUGGCGGGGUAACGGCCCACCAAGGCUACGAUCAGUAGGGGUUCUGAGAGGAAGGUCCCCCACAUUGGAACUGAGACACGGUCCAAACUCCUACGGGAGGCAGCAGUGAGGAAUAUUGGUCAAUGGACGAGAGCCUGAACCAGCCAAGUAGCGUGCAGGAUGACGGCCCUAUGGGUUGUAAACUGCUUUUAUGCGGGGAUAAAGUGAGGGACGUGUCCUUCAUUGCAGGUACCGCAUGAAUAAGGACCGGCUAAUUCCGUGCCAGCAGCCGCGGUAAUACGGAAGGUCCUGGCGUUAUCCGGAUUUAUUGGGUUUAAAGGGAGCGUAGGCCGUGGAUUAAGCGUGUUGUGAAAUGCAGGUGCUCAACGUCUGCACUGCAGCGCGAACUGGUUCACUUGAGUGUGCGCAACGCAGGCGGAAUUCGUCGUGUAGCGGUGAAAUGCUUAGAUAUGACGAAGAACUCCGAUUGCGAAGGCAGCUUGCGGGAGCACAACUGACGCUGAAGCUCGAAAGUGCGGGUAUCGAACAGGAUUAGAUACCCUGGUAGUCCGCACGGUAAACGAUGGAUGCCCGUUGUCAGGCUGUUUCAGCCUGGUGACCAAGCGAAAGCAUUAAGCAUCCCACCUGGGGAGUACGCCGGCAACGGUGAAACUCAAAGGAAUUGACGGGGGCCCGCACAAGCGGAGGAACAUGUGGUUUAAUUCGAUGAUACGCGAGGAACCUUACCC
rnacentral:rRNA from 1 species